AAUCAGAAGGUUGAAAACUCUAGGUUGUGUUUGGAUCGACGAAAAUGUUAAGUAAACAAAUUAAUUAAAGCACCGCGUAAAACACAUUCAGGUUUUCUAUAUCUUCUUCAAAUCUAAUUCUUCUUCAUUCGAGAAAACACCAUAGCGGUACGUAGUUCAUCUUCAUGGCCGAAUCCCAACAAACACGUGUUUCAUUAGGGUAAAUAAAAUGUUUUUUCGUCGAAAGAAAAUGUUUUUCGUGGAAAGCAAAUGUUCAAUAAUUAUGGUUAUAAAGAAAAGGUUUUUUGACGAAAGCAAAUGUUCAAUUAGGGUAAAGAAAAUGUUUUUCGAAGAAAGCAAAUGUUCAAUUAUGGUAAAGAAAAGGUUUUUUGACGAAAGCAAAUGUUCAAUUAGGGUGAAGAAAAUGUUUUUUGACGAAAGCAAAUGUUCAAUUAGGGUAAAGAAAAUGUUUUUUCGACGAAAGCAAAUUCAUAAUCAGUUUCCUAAAUAUUAGAACCAAACACUAUAUAUAGAGAUCAUCAUCAAAUUCCUCGUUUUUCAUCUGCUUUUGCAUUUUCAUUUCUCCUCAUCUUCAAAAUCCACGAACCAAACAGAGCCUAAACCGAAUGAAUGUAUACCUUAUAUUGCAGCGUUCGACGUAUUGAAAACUCGUGUUCAUCCAUUGCACUGCAGCUUCUUUAGUUUGUACGGAUUCGUAAUCGAAGAGGGUGAUGGUGAGAUCAAUCCCACUUCCAUCGAAUGCCUUCAAAAUAUCUUCGUCCGCGGAAUAAAUUCUCGCCUCUUUAAUCCCGUUUUGCAACAACAAGUCAACCACCAUCGACGGAGUCAGUCUCUGCGCAUUGUUCCUCCCCCAAUUUAUACCUAUUGCGCCUUCACCGCCGCCGAUGCUCAGCCCUAGCAAUAUUGCCGCCACGAUAAACGCCAUCUUGCGUAUCAUCGUCGCCGCCUUCGAUCGACUCGCCCUAAUUGAUCAGAUGAUUUCUCGAUUUAGGGCUUGAUUAAUUGAUGUACCAAGGAAGAUGCAUACAUAUACAUACAUAUACUUUAUAUAUGUAUGUGUGUAUAUAUAUGUAUGAUCUUUUUUUUCUUUUUCUCAGAAAUAUUAGAGCGGAAAAAAUAUAUAUUAUCGAGUUUAUGCUGACGAGAAGGAUUAUAUUAUAUAUAUAUGCAUAAUAAUUUGUGUUGAUGGAAUUUUCCUAUUUUUCUGGGGAGGAAAUGAGAGGUGGCAAUUCAUUUUGUGUUCAUGAAGUCAAUAUGAGAGAUUGUCAAAUUCUUUUGAACGUUGACUUUUUUUCUUUUCUCUUUCUUCUAAUUCUCACCCAUGCUCAAGUUUAAUUCUUGAUGUAUGUUGACCGGAAAUAUAUGAUUAGUUGACUUGACUUGGGGUUUUGUUAGGGGAGAAAAUGAGAGAUACCAAUUCAUUUUAAUAAUAUCCAAAUUUCUAAUCUUAACCAUUCAUAAUGCAUGAAUCAGAUUGAUCCAACGCUUCGAUCUUCUCCGGUGCUCUUUGGACAAAAAUUGCUCAUGUGUUCCUUGAAGAAUGAGCGUAAUUCUUUCUUUCUAUCUUAUUUCAAUCAUAUUUAAAAUUUUACAAUAGUAUAAAUUUAAAAUAUAGGAUAAAAUUUAUUUUACACCCCUAUACUUUGCGAAAUGUAUCAUUUAAAUUACAUAAUUAAUUGACACAAAUUCUAUUGCAUAGUUGUAUGCAAUGAAUAAAUAUUCAUGCAAUACCAAGAUUCUUAGGAAUUAAUAUGGCUCUUUAUUAUUUAUUUUAUCAACUACACAUAAGUUAUGAGGAAAAGUUAUAUUUUCCGUUUGCUCCAAUUCCAUUUUUGGUCCCCAUGUUUCAAGGUGGACAUAAUUAACGUUAAUUUACAACUUUUAAACACAUUUGGUCCACCCCAUUAGUUGGUCGUUAAUGACUAGCGAAAAAUACUUUUUUUGGGGCUACAAUUAGGAUUUAAAGUUGAUUUGGGGCUAAAAAUAAUUUUCAAAAUUAUUCCUUUGAUCAAAAAAAAGAAAACUUAAAUAUAAAGGACUAUUUUCUUAGAAACUCACAUAUACGAUAUCAUUUUCUGGCCAAAGUCAAAGCCUUUGGCGGACCGUUGCAAAGAGUCGUUGAUUUUUUUCUGAUAAAUAUGCCCCCAAUAAUCUCUAUAUUGCUUGGUUUUAGAAUUUUCAUCUUUUCAGCCCCUUUUUUUUUAAUUUUGAUAUUGAAUUCUUGCAUUUUGUUGAGUUUAUUUCCCUAGUGUUUCAAUGUCGUCUAAUAGUUCAAAUUCCCAAUAACCAUGUCUUAUUUUUCCCGAAACAAAUUUAUGGAUUCUAUCAUAUAUGAAACAGGGUAAAAGAGUCAUUGCACACUCAAAUUUAAAGUAAACCGUUAAAGGUCUGACCAUCGACAGUAAGAAAAUAGGUGGCCAAAUUUGAUAUUCUCUAUACAUCAAGGGGGUAAACGACACAUUUCUCAUAGUACAUGGUGCAAAAAUGAAUUUCGGUGGGUGGUUUUCACUUCCUAGCAAUUUAACAAAACCCAAAGGACGGAAAGCAAAAACACAAAAAUUGGUGCAAGAAGUCGAUCUUGUCCACUUUUGGUAGGACGGUAAUUAUCCUGCUGACCCUUGACCACCUCCACCGGGAACACACAACCAUCCGUCGACGGAUCCUCCGCCACCACGACGGCGUAUCCGCCGAAUGAGCACGCGCCCUCGUCCUGGAACUUGGUCUGAAAGUACAUGUUGAACGCGUACGACACGUUGUUCUGAAAACUCAGCCCGCUGCAAGAACCCCCCGGCGCCAGGCUGGUGCAGUCAGCCUUCCGGCAGGCGAGCUUGAAUUGCUCCACCACCGCAGACUUGUUGAAUCCCUUCACCCGAUUCGUGUACACGCACCACCGCUCCGGCAUCCGCAUAAUCCCGUUCGCCUUCGUCGGAAAUAUAUCCCGCCCCUGCCCGGAAAGAUCGAUCUUGUACUUCGGCUCGCCGUUGGUCCGGUAGAUCCCCCAGUGGCGCGCGAAGGGGAAGUAGUCUCCAUUCAUAUUCUCGUCGGUGAGCGCGUGUAUGUACGUGUCGAUCGGUUUCCCCGGCCGCAUUGGCGUCCCUUUGUUGCUGGUUACAUAGGGUAGAAGGUGUUUGUAGAAAUGCUCAGCUGAAGAUGUGUUAGCCCCCGGCAAGCCGUCGGUGGGCCACCCCACCGCCCCCACCACUAUGUCCAAAUCGGGCACCCCGGCUUUUUUUAUCGCCCACACGAACGAAUCGUGCAAGACGGUGAAAUAGUCUGUGUAGACGGCCCCGUUUACGUCCUCGAUGACGUGGCUAGGGCUGUCCGUGGGGCCCGCAAAGUCGAUGCCCAGUUUCUUAUUGAUGACUUGAUAGAUCGGGAGUAAUUCGAUUAUGAGCGGGGCUUUGUUGGCCUCGAGUUGUCGGAGGAAACCGUGCAUUUCUUCCCUGAUCUCGUGUCGAAAAUCGGCUUCGGACGGUUUCGAUACCUUUUCCAUGUUGAGUACGUAGUCGGGAUGCGGCAUCGUGACCUUGAUUUCAUCGGCGUAUGAUCCUUCGUUGAUCGCUUCUUGCAUUGACGUGUAUGCGGUGAGCGCAGCUUGCAAAUCGGUUUUGUUCGUAAUUCCUCUAGAAAAUGCAUCGACUCCUAUAUAAAUGCGCCUGCAAAAAAAAAAAAACGUAUUUUAUUUGUCCAAUAAAUCGUGGAAAUUGAGUGGGGCAACCAUGUCAAAUCAAAAUUUUGCUCAUAUUCAAAUCCGAAGGUCGAAUAUCCUCUUCAAAUUCUUUGUUUUUCAUCUGCUUUUGCAUUUUCAUUUUUCCUCGUCUUCAAAUUCCACGGACCAAACAGAGCCUAAACGAAUGGACAUUGUAAAAAACCGCAAGAGUUUGACAAAGCGCGUUUUGUUAUAUAUAUAUAUAUAUAUAUAUAUGUAUAUAUAUACCUUAUUCUGGAGUUUUCAAGGUACCCAAUUUUCGUGCUGAUCCAUCUCUUGGCGUCGUCUUUACUUGCGAUAGAGGAAAAAUUAAAUAUGGUGACGGUGAGAUCAAUCCCACUUCCGAAAAAUGCCCUCAAGAUAUCCUCUUGCGCAUUAUAAAUUCUCGCCUCUUUAACGCCGUUUUGCAACAGCAAAUCCACCACCAUCGACGGAAUCAAUCUCUGCGCGUUGUUCCUUCCCCAAUUUAUACCUAUCGCACCUUCCCCGCCGCCGAUGUUCAGCCCUAGCAAAAUCGCCGCCAUGAUAAACGCUAUUUUGCAUAUCAUCUUCGUUCGACUCGCCCUAGUUCAGAUAAUUUCUCGAUCUAGGGCUUGAUUAGUUAUGUACGAAGGAAGAUGCAUACAUAUAUACAUGCAUAUACAUACAUAUAUGUAUGUAUAUAUAUAUGUUCAUGUAUGUACAUAUAUGUGAAUGGGUAUAUGUACGAUCUUUUUCGUUUUCUGAGAAGAAGAGCGGGAAAAAGAUAUAUUAUCGAGUUCGUUUAUGCUAACGACGAGGAUUAUAUACAUGCAUAAUAAUUUGUUGAUGGAGGUUUCCUAUUUUCUUGGGGAGAUCAAAUGAGAGAUGGCUAUUCAUUUUCUGUCCAUGAAGUUAAAACGAGAGAUCACAGUUUCUUUCCUUUUUUUAAUUUAAUUUUUAUUUUUAUUUUUUAUUUUUAAUUUUUAAUAUUUUCUUUAUAAUUCUCACGCAUGCUCAAGUUUAAUUCUUGAUUUAUGUUGACCGGAAAUAUAUGAUUAGUUGACUUAAUUUGGGGUUUUGUUGGGGGAGAAAAUGAGAGAUACAUACUCAUUUUCUUAUCCAUGCAAUUUUUUUUAAGAAAAGGCAACAUUUUUAAUCACUAAAAACUUGUCGUUAAUUUUUUUUUUUUUUUUUGGGUACUAGAAGUGGUCUAUCUAAUACACUAUUCCUCAAUACAAAAAAUAAAAUCAGAGCUCGAUUUUUCGACAAUUUACGGCUUACCCAAAAGUUUAUUGUACUAGUCGAACAUCGAAUAACGUCAACAUAUAUAAUGUUGUGGUAUGUGGCGCGCUAAGGAGCACCGAGAUUGCGGAAGUAGAUGGUUGUGAUAAUUUGUCACGAGCAAAACAUUAUAUUUGUUUGUAUUUCGGGAAAAUAUUUAAGUAGAGUUUAGAAAAUAAACUAUUUUUCUGAAAUGAGUUGAUGUCUUCUCUGCUUAUAAAGCAUCGAAUCCUUGCAUUUACGGUAAUCGAACUAUUAUCAAAAUAAAACGAGGGUUUCUUUAGUAAUUAAACAAAACAAAGGGGGUACUGAAUGCAAUAAACCCAAAUAUUAACUACCGAUUUUUCAUAUUGUUAAAAAACAAGAUCGAGUUAAAUAAGACAUAACAAGUUAACCGCAGUUAAAACAACUUAUCAGAUGUGAGAGCUUAUCAACUGUUUAAAAUAAGUUCAGCCAAACGGGCCCUAAGUCUAGGAUUCAUAGUUAAGGGGAAAUAUAUACCGCCCUUGAUCCGACAGAUCGAUCUUGUACUUGGGCUCGACGUUGCUCCUGUAAAUCCCCCAGUGGCGCGCGAAAUCAUAUCCAAAAGGGUUUAAAUUCUCGUCGUUUAGUGCGUGCAUGUAGGUGUCAAUGGGGUUCAAAUGCGCGUUCUUUAACGAGAAUAAAUUAACCAAAAACGAAAACCUCUAACCACUAAAGUUUAUACGAAAACAACGAAAGCAAAAAAAAAAAUUCUGUAAAUAUUAGUAUAUCUAUAAUUAUAAUUUCGUUAUGUAUCUAUAUAUUAUGUAUUGCAUGUUAUUUAAAAAAAAAACUUUAUUUAUCAAAAUUUCAGAGUUUCACAACUUUUUGGUAUUUGAAUAGAUCUAAAAAAAACCCCCAAAUUCAAAAACGGAUUGGAAAGGAAAAACCCUAAUUUCGUACAAGAUUGUUGCAACUUUCUAGCAAUUUAACAAUACCCAAAAAGACGGAAAGCAAAGACACAGAGAACGGUGCGAAAAGACGAUCUUGCCCACUUUUGAAAAUGAAAUUUUCUUGUUGACCCUUGACCACCUCCACCGGGAACACGCAUUCAUCCGUCGACGGAUCCUCCGUCACCACGGUGGCGUAGCCGCCGAACACGCACUCCCUCUCGUCCUGAAACAUCAUCUGGAAGUACAUGUUGAACGCGUACGACACGUUCAGAGUGAAGCUCAGCCCGCUGCAAGAAGCCCCUGGCGCCAAGCUGGUGCAGUCAGCUCGUUUGCAUGCGUAUUUGAACUCUUCAAUCACCCUACUCUUGUUGUACCCCUUCAUGUUUUCCUUGUACACGCACCACCGCUCCGGCAUCCGCAUAAUCCCCUUUGCCCUCGCCGGAAAUAUAUCCCGCCCUUGCCCGGAAAGAUCAAUCUUGUACUUCGGCUCGCCGUUGGUCCGGUAGAUCCCCCAGUGGCGCGCGUAGGGGAAGUAGUCUCCAUUCAUAUUCUCGUCGGUGAGCGCGUGUACGUAGGUGUCGAUGGGUUUCCCGGGCCGCAUUGGCGUGCCUUUGUUGCUGAUCACAUAGGGCAGAAGGUGUUUGAAGAAAUGCUCGGCUGUAGAUGUGUUCCCCCCCGGGAAGCCGUCGGUGGGCCACCCCACCGCCCCCACCACUAUAUCCAAAUCGGGCACCCCGGCUUUGUUUAUUGCCCACACGAAUGAAUCGUGCAAGAAGGUGAAAUAGUCUGUGUAGAUGGCCCCGUUUACGUCUUUGAUGACGUGGCUAGGGUUUUCCGAGGGGCCCGCGAAGUCAAUGGACAGAUUUUUUAGGAGGACGUAAUAGAUCGGGAGUAAUUCAAUGACGAGUGGGGCUUUGUCGGCCUCGAGGAGUCGGAGGAAACCGUGCAUUUCUUCCUUGAUCUCGGGUCGGAAAUCGGCUUCGGACGGUCUCGUUAUGUUUUCGACGUUCAGUAUAAUGUCGGGAUGCGGCAUCGUUGCCUUGACGUAAUCGUAUCCGGAAUCAUUGAGCGCGGCUCGCAUGAAAUUGUACGCCCUGAGUGAAUUAUUCAGAGACUUUUUGUCCGUAAUUCCUUGAGCAAAUGCAUCGAAUCCUAUAUAAAUGCGCCUGUAAACCCAAAAAAAAAAAAAACGUUUUUUGUAGUAAUAAAUCAGAAGGUUGAAAGGUCUAGGUUGCGUUUGGAUCAAGGAACAUGUUAAGUAAAAAUAUUAAAGGAUUGCGUAAACAGAUUUUCCGUUUGGUUAGGUGUUAAUUCAACACUAAAUAAAUGAUUUGUAGUAAUAAUAUUUUACGACAUUACCUAUUAAAAAAAACGAGGAAAACUACACGUAAAAUGCAACAGGUUUU
rnacentral:lncRNA from 1 species